CUCUGUUGUUAGGGAAGAACAAGUACCGUUCGAAUAGGGCGGUACCUUGACGGUACCUAACCAGAAAGCCACGGCUAACUACGUGCCAGCAGCCGCGGUAAUACGUAGGUGGCAAGCGUUGUCCGGAAUUAUUGGGCGUAAAGCGCGCGCAGGCGGUUUCUUAAGUCUGAUGUGAAAGCCCCCGGCUCAACCGGGGAGGGUCAUUGGAAACUGGGGAACUUGAGUGCAGAAGAGGAGAGUGGAAUUCCACGUGUAGCGGUGAAAUGCGUAGAGAUGUGGAGGAACACCAGUGGCGAAGGCGACUCUCUGGUCUGUAACUGACGCUGAGGCGCGAAAGCGUGGGGAGCGAACAGGAUUAGAUACCCUGGUAGUCCACGCCGUAAACGAUGAGUGCUAAGUGUUAGAGGGUUUCCGCCCUUUAGUGCUGCAGCAAACGCAUUAAGCACUCCGCCUGGGGAGUACGGUCGCAAGACUGAAACUCAAAGGAAUUGACGGGGGCCCGCACAAGCGGUGGAGCAUGUGGUUUAAUUCGAAGCAACGCG
rnacentral:rRNA from 1 species